GACUAACGCUGGCGGCGUGCCUAACACAUGCAAGUCGAACGAGUUGUUUAUAGUAGCAAUAUUGUGAACAGCAAGUGGCGAACGGGUGAGUAACACGUAGAUAAUCUGCCUUUCAGACGGGGACAACUCAGGGAAACUUGUGCUAAUACCCGAUGAGACUACGGGAGGGGACCUUCGUAGCCAAAGGUGGGGGCAACCUCACGCUGAAAGAUGAGUCUGCGUCCUAUCAGCUAGUUGGUGGGGUAAAAGCCUACCAAGGCGAAGACGGGUAGCCGGCCUGAGAGGGUGAACGGCCACACUGGGACUGAGACACGGCCCAGACUCCUACGGGAGGCAGCAGUGAGGAAUUUUCCGCAAUGGGCGCAAGCCUGACGGAGCGACGCCGCGUGAGGGAUGACGGCCUUCGGGUUGUAAACCUCUUUUAUUAGGGAAAAAGGCAAUCGUGCUAAUACCACGGUUGUUUGAUGUUACCUGUUGAAUAAGCCCCGGCUAACUACGUG
rnacentral:rRNA from 1 species